rnacentral:sRNA from 1 species
GCUGGGCAUGGUGGCGCACGCCUGUAAUCCCAGUGGCUCAGGAGGCUGAGGCAGGAGGAUCUUAAAUUCAAAAUCAGCCUCAGCCACUCAGGGAGUCCCUAAGCAACUCAAUGAGACCCUGUCUCUA